rnacentral:sRNA from 1 species
CGACCAUUCUUUACAUUAAAGAAGAACUUAUCAUAGUCUCCACCACCAGCAGCAAAGGUAGCGGAAAAUAAAGCACCAGAGACGCUGUCAACCCCAAAGACACCUUGCAGUUCGGUAGCUUUCUUAGAUGCUUGAUUUUUAAUUUUGUCUGGGAACGAAUUGGCUA